rnacentral:rRNA from 1 species
UACGAAGGGGGCUAGCGUUGCUCGGAAUCACUGGGCGUAAAGCGCACGUAGGCGGACUCUUAAGUCGGUGGUGAAAUCCUGGAGCUCAACUCCGGAACUGCCUUUGAUACUGGAGAGCUUGAGUCCGGAAGAGGUGAGUGGAACUCCGAGUGUAGAGGUGAAAUUCGUAGAUAUUCGGAAGAACACCAGUGGCGAAGGCGGCUCACUGGUCCGGUACUGACGCUGAGGUGCGAAAGCGUGGGGAGCAAACAGG